rnacentral:rRNA from 1 species
GACGAACGCUGGCGGCGUGCUUAACACAUGCAAGUCGAACGGAAAGGCCUCUUUCGGGGGGUACUCGAGUGGCGAACGGGUGAGUAACACGUGAGUAACCUGCCCUUGACUUUGGGAUAACUUCAGGAAACUGGGGCUAAUACCGGAUAGGAGCUCCUGCUGCAUGGUGGGGGUUGGAAAGUUUCGGCGGUUGGGGAUGGACUCGCGGCUUAUCAGCUUGUUGGUGGGGUAGUGGCUUACCAAGGCUUUGACGGGUAGCCGGCCUGAGAGGGUGACCGGCGACAUUGGGACUGAGAGACGGCCCAGACGCCUACGGGAGGCAGCAGUGGGGAAUAUUGCACAAUGGGUGGAAGCCUGAUGCAGCAACGCCGUGUGCGGGAUGACGGCCUUCGGGUUGUAAACCGCUUUCGCUCAUGACGAAGCUUUGUGUGACGGUAGUGGGUAAAGAAGCACCGGCUAACUACGUG